rnacentral:miRNA from 14 species
UCUUCCUCUUCCUCUUCCUCUUCCUCUUCCUCUUGUACAUGUUCUUGUUCUUGUUGUUCUUGUUGCUUUUAAUGGGAGACUUUUAAAGAUUGCUUCUAUGCUUCUAUUAUCUUAGGGAUUAUCAAGUAUUUAAAUAGUUGCCUGAUCUUGAUUUAACUUUGGUAAGUGGUGUCUGUAU